AGGCAGCAGUAGGGAAUCUUCCACAAUGGGCGCAAGCCUGAUGGAGCAACACCGCGUGAGUGAAGAAGGGUUUCGGCUCGUAAAGCUCUGUUGUUGGAGAAGAACGUGCGUGAGAGUAACUGUUCACGCAGUGACGGUAUCCAACCAGAAAGUCACGGCUAACUAC
rnacentral:rRNA from 1 species